GACGAACGCUGGCGGCGUGCUUAACACACGCAAGUCGAACGGAAAGGCCCUGCUUUUGUGGGGUGCUCGAGUGGCGAACGGGUGAGUAACACGUGAGUAACCUGCCCUUGACUUUGGGAUAACUUCAGGAAACUGGGGCUAAUACCGGAUAGGAGCUCCUGCUGCAUGGUGGGGGUUGGAAAGUUUCGGCGGUUGGGGAUGGACUCGCGGCUUAUGAGCUUGUUGGUGGGGUAGUGGCUUACCAAGGCUUUGACGGGUAGCCGGCCUGAGAGGGUGACCGGCCACAUUGGGACUGAGAUACGGCCCAGACUGCAACGGGAGGCAGCAGUGGGGAAUAUGGCCCAAUGGGCGGAAGCCUGAUGCAGAAACGCCGCGUGCGGGAUGACGGCCUGCGGGUUGUAAACCGCUUUCGCCUGUGACGAAGCGUGAGUGACGGUAAUGGGUAAAGAAGCACCGGCUAACUACGUG
rnacentral:rRNA from 1 species